rnacentral:lncRNA from 13 species
GGUCAGGCUGAUCACUGGCCCUCAGGUGAUCUGCCCACCUUGGCAUCCCAAAGUGCUGAGAUUACAGGUGUGAGCUACUGCGCCUGGCCUAUUUGUAUUUACGGUUCUGCUGUGGGCUAGUAGUUAAAAAGCCAGCAAAGAUAUUUAAACUUUGUAAGGUCCUAAUGAGCUGUUUAAGUAAGGCUUAGAGAAAGAAGGUGACCAUAGGGACAGUAAUAUUUACCACUUCCCAUUCAGUUAAUAGUUAAUGGCAUUUGCUUCUCUUCCCUUAUUUGAUCAAGGGAUGGUUGGGUGCUCUGGUUGUACAUGCACAAAUUGCACGGUGGCAAAAUUUGCUUUUGCAGGAGUUACAAUAAAGAUAUUUUAGUUUGUAAGAGGAAACUCCAUGACCUAGAUGGCUUGUUCCAUCCCUACUGCUUUGAGAAGAGGGAACAAAUAAUCUACAGGUCCAGUUUUGGAGUUAACAUGCAGGUUUAUGCUGAAGUUGGCAAUUAUUAUAUUCUAAAAUGAACUUUUACUGCUAUAGCUCUCCAAGUUUCUACUUGACCAUUUUUGACUUUCUUUUUUUCCUGAGAUGGGGAUUUUGCUCUUGUUGCCCAGGAUGGAUUGCAAUGGCUGGAUCUCAGCUCACCACAACCUCCACCUCUUGGGUUCAAGCGAUUCUCCUGCCUCAGCCUCCCAAGUCGCUGAGAUUACAGAGUGGGGAGCCGACAUUCAAGUUGCAUGUGAUGAGAAAAUCAUCAAACCUGGAGCCGCUUUGGAUAAAUGAAAGUUGGCAAUAAUAGAACUGCCAAGAUCUUGACUGUGACACCUUGAAGGUUGGAGAAACAUCCCAGGCUAAGUACUCUGGAGCCUGUAGGAAGAUUAGAACCCUCAUCUCUUCCUACCUUACCCCUUUCUCCGGAUGUCCUUAUCUGUUGCUGUAUCACCUGUUUCCUUGAUCCUAUGGGAAGAAAUUCUCACAAGUGCUUUAAAAGUCCCAGCUUCAAUCUAACCCACCCCCACUGAACUUCCCAUUGCUUUGGGUGCAGGUCAGAUAAAACCUUGUUACUUUUAAUACCACUUUUGUCACUGGGGAGUUUUCUAUGCUAUCAGCCCUACCUGGACCAAACAUCUCCACCGCAAUCCCUUUUCCUUUGCGCUUGUGCUGAAUAUAGCCACCAGGUGGCACUUCAGAGUCUCCUGUGGCCCUGUUUUAAAAGUCAGCAGCUUGGGUUCAGUUGACUUUAGAACGCAACGUAUUCAUGAGAUGGGAAGAGAUAUUC